GUAGGUGGCAAGCGUUGUCCGGAAUUAUUGGGCGCAAAGCGCGCGCAGGCGGUUCUUUAAGUCUGAUGUGAAAGCCCACGGCUCAACCGUGGAGGGUCAUUGGAAACUGGAGAACUUGAGUACAGAAGAGGAAAGCGGAAUUCCACGUGUAGCGGUGAAAUGCGUAGAGAUGUGGAGGAACACCAGUGGCGAAGGCGGCUUUCUGGUCUGUAACUGACGCUGAGGCGCGAAAGCGUGGGGAGCAAACAGGAUUAGAUACCCUGGUAGUCCACGCCGUAAACGAUGAGUGCUAAGUGUUAGGGGGUUUCGCCCCCCUUAGUGCUGCAGCUAACGCAUUAAGCACUCCGCCUGGGAGUACGGCCGCAAGGCUG
rnacentral:rRNA from 1 species